AUGGAGGCGAGGAAGAGCGCGCCGGGGCAGCCGUGGUCGGACGGCGAGACCAUGCACCUCAUCGACGUCUACGAGGACCGCUGGACCAAGCUGCGCCGGGGCCAGCUCAAGGCGCACCAGUGGGAGGACGUGGCUGGCGAGGUCACCCGCCGCUGCGGCGGCCAGCGCAAGACCGGCACCCAGUGCCGCCACAAGCUCGAGAAGCUCCGCAAGCGCUACCGCACCGAGGCCGCCCGCCCCGUCACCUCCCUCUGGCCCUUCUUCCGCCGCAUGGAGCGCCUCGAGCGCGGCCCCGUCCCCGUCUCCACCAACUCCUUCCCCGCCUCCCCGCCCGCCUCCGACGACGACCAAGACCAGGACCUGGACCCGGAGGAGGAAGAAGAAGAUGAAGAGGAGCAGGAGGAGGAAGACGAGGAGCAGGAGGAGGACCAAGAAGAGGAGGAGGAGCAAUUGCUCGUCGCCAGGAACACCGGCAGCCACACCAGGAGCAUCAACGGCCUCGUGCGCGACGCCGGCGGCUUCAGGGGCCAUCAGCAGCAGCAGCAGCAGCAGCAGCAACGCCGCCCUUCGCCGCCGGCUGUGACACUGUCCACCGCGCCUCCGCGCAAGAGGGUCUCCUACGAGGCCGCCAUGUUCCAGUCCAAGGCCGCCGCUGCAGACAGGGCCAUCAAGGCCGAGGAGGCUCCCGCCGUGGACCACGGCUCCGUAGCAGGCGUGCUGAGGGACAUCGGCGAGGGAAUCAAGCGGCUGGAGAGGCGGAGAAUGGAGGUGCAGUGGGAGAUUGAGCAGGGUUGGAAGGAGACGGAGGCCCGCAGUAAUCAGAUGCUCCAGGACGCCCAGCGGCAGUUACAGGACACUCUCGCCGCACUGCCGCCGCCGGGGAAGAAGGCCAGGAGGGACCAUGGCAGCAGUGCAGACGGCUUGUAG
rnacentral:rRNA from 1 species